GGUUCUCAAUCACACAUCAACACUCCUUGUGUCUGUUCCUGUGUGGACAUCGCAGUCUCUUCACCUUGUGUCGAGUCUGCCAAAGUAUGAGUAGCGCUUUCAAGCAUUGAAGUGGACCGCAAGGUCUGCCUCAUUCAAGCCACACCCGAGUAUGCAUUUUCAAUAUGUUGCUCGAUCUUGUGUCUUGCUUGAUCCCAGUCUCGAGCAAUCGAGACAAGCAUGCUGCCUAUAUUGGCAACCCCUCA
rnacentral:misc_RNA from 1 species